CUUCUGUAAGCUCUCAGAGCGAAACAUUGAAGAUGUUUAGGCGAAGAAUCCAUCUUCACGGAAGA
rnacentral:tRNA from 1 species